rnacentral:rRNA from 1 species
AAGCUACUCAAAUAAAGCAUACGGUGGAUGCCUUGGAAUAAUGUGCCGAAGAAGGACGUAUAAGGCCGCGAAAGUCGUCGGUGAGGAGCCAUAAUCCUUUGACCCGGCGGUGUCCGAAUGGGGUAACCCCUAUGUCAGUAAUGGCAUGGUACUCGCCUUAGGCGAGUAGGUAACCCGGAGAACUGAAACAUCUAAGUACCCGGAGGAAAAGAAAUCGAAUGAGAUUCCCUUAGUAAGCGGUGAGCGAAAAGGGAAUAGUCUAAACCGAGAUUUAUCUCGGUGUUGCAGGACCAGACAUAACGUAUUUUUAGGUUAGAAGAACAACGUGGAAUAGUUGGCCAUAGAACGUGAAAGCCGUGUAAUCGAAAACCUGUAAAUAUCAGUUUGGCACCUAAGUACGCCCGGAGACGGCAAACUCCGCGCGGAAUCCGCCCCGACCACGGGGCAAGGCUAAAUACACAUUAUUACCGAUAGUGAACGAGUACCGUGAGGGAAAGGUGAAAAGAUGGGUGAGACACCCAGUGAAAUAGUACCUGAAACCGUAUGCUAACAAACAGACAGAGCCCCCUCAAUUUUGUUUUCAACAAAAUUGAGCAAUUUUCAAGUCUCAAUUUACAAUUUACAUUUAAGACUCAAAUAUCAAUGUUUAAAACUUGAUUAUUGGAAUUUAUUUGUAAAUUGGAUUUUGUAAAUUGGAAUUUACCGAAGUUUAUCGAAGAUAAAACUGAGGGGGUGAUGUCGUGCCUAUUGAAGAAUGACCCGUCGAGUUUGCAUGUACUGCAAGUCUAAGUGAUAUCGUCACGGAGGCGUAGUGAAAGCGAGGAUGAAUAGUCCAGUAGCAGUGCGUCCAAGACCCGAAACCGGUGUGAGCUAACCAUGAGCAGGUUGAACCCCAAGUAAAAUUGGGGGAAGGACCGAACCGUUGUGAGCUGCAAAUCGCUCGGAUGACUUGUGGUUAGGGGUAAUAUGCCAAUCGAACCCGGAGAUAGCUGGUUCUCCCCGAAAUAUAUUUAGGUAUAGCCUCAAGUGAUUGCAUGUGUGGGGGUAGAGCACUGAAAAGGUGCGAGGUCGCAAGGCCUUUCAUUUUAUCAAACUCCGAAUACCAUCAUGUUCAGCUUGGGAGUCAGUCCCUGGGAGCUAAGUUCCAGGGGCAAAAGGGUAACAUCCCAGAUCGUCAAUUAAGGUCUCAAAAUCAUUACUAAGUGGGUCAAGGAAGUCAUUGUCCAUAAACAGCUAGGAGGUCGGCUCAGAAGCAGCCAUCCUUGAAAGAAAGCGUAACAGCUCACUAGUCGAUGGAAGGUGGCGCCGAAGAUUCAUCGAGGCUCAAGUAAUGUACCGAAGUUGCGGAUUGUCGCACAUUUAUGUGUGAUUCUGGUAGGGGAGCGUUCCAACAGCAGUGAAGUCGUUCUGUAAGGGACGGUGGAGCGGUUGGAAGUGAGAAUGGCGGGAUGAGUAGCGAGAUGGAGGUGAGAAUCCUCCACACCGAAUGUUCAAGGUUUCCCACGCAACGUUUGUCGACGUGGGGUUAGGCGGCCCUAAGGUGAGGCUGGUGUAAUGCCGGCGUAGCCGAUGGAUAACAGGUUGAUAUUCCUGUCCUAUAAAGUGAUCGUUAUUAACUGGGGAGGGACGACCUAGGAAAAGCAGAGCCCAUUAUUGAAUUUGGGUCUAAGCGUCGAGACAGUAAGACAUUGGAAAAUCCGUGUCAUACGUUAUUACUCGAGGCGCGAUGGGGAAUUUCAGCUUCGGCUGGAGUGACUUUGUGUAUUUCUGGGCCCAAGAAAAUCUUCGCAGUGAGAGUAUUUUAUAGCCGUACCGCAAACCGACACAGGUGAACUGGUAGAGUAUACCAAGGUGGACGAGAGAACCUUCCUUAAGGAACUCGGCAAAUUAGCUAGGCGUAACUUAGGGAGAUGCCUAUUCCGUAAAUUUUGUACUUGUACAAAAUUCUGCGGAACGCAGAUAAAGAAUUCAAAGUGACUGUUUAACAAAAACACAGGUCUGUGCGAAGGCGUAAGCCGACGUAUACGGGCUGAGGCCUGCCCAGUGCCAGAAGGUUAACUGAGAGGAUAACCCCGACUUGUUCGGGCUAGUCUUUGAUUGAAGCCCUGGUGAACGGCAGCAGUAACUAUAACUGUUCUAUGGUUAAGGAUCUAAAAAUCGUUGCCAUAGUGAGGUAGUCAAACCUCUUUCAUAGUGUGCAGAAAAAACUAUGAAGAAAAUAUCGCUAUAUGCUGGAAGAGCUCGGUAUCUGACAGUACUACCAUGAUUCGAAUCAUAGUAGUGACAAUCUGUUCAGUGGAGCAAAUCAGCAGGAAAGGUCUUGCAAGUAGGAGUAGAAUACACAUUCUAUGGAAGAAAUUGAAAGUUUAGUACCUACUGAAUCAAUUGAAAGAACGGGAAAUAUUUUCGACCAACUUAAGCAAUUAGGUUGUAUCGGAACAAUUCUCCUUCCAAUCAUUUGGUUAGUAGAAAAACUAUCAAAAUCCGAAGAAGUUAAGUGGUAAUUUAUUUUCUAGCAAGAAAUCCUCAGAGACUACACGCGAUACAUCACGAAAGUGAAGAAGAUAUAGUCCGGUCUCAUAGGCGACUAUGAGUUAACAUUAACAAGCGAAAUUCCUUGUCGGGCAAGUUCCGACCUGCACGAAUGGCGUAACAACUUUGAAACUGUCUUGAGGAGGGACUCGGCGAAAUUGAAAUGGCUGUGAAGAUGCGGCCUACUGACAACAGGACAAAAAGACCCCG